GUAACUUCCUGUUGACGUCUUGUGUGGCUUUCAAUCGUAGACCGUAAAUAUUUUACUCAGAUAAAUAAUUUAACCACCAGGAAUAUUUUGGUCAUAAAAUCUUCGUCGGGAUGAACGAGUUUAUUCGCUGUACCAAGUCAAAACUUAAACGUAGCAACGAAGGGCCUGAUAAAGUUGGAGCCUGCAGUCGACAGCAAAGGCAACUGCACAUCACGGACUUGCCGCCAAAGUUGCUGGCUCGCAUUUUCGAACUUUGUUCUUACGAUUUCUUGGCUAGAAGAGUGAGGCCCGUGUGCAGACGAUUCCGUGACGUCGCCACCUUAGUUCUCAAUUGCGGGUUUUCGACCUUGGGUUCCAAGAUUGAUCGAGCUAUGCUAUGGUGGAUGUCGUGCCUCGUAUAGGACAAGUUCGACCAACUGAACAACAACUGCUGAUGGAUCAACAUUGCAUUGCGCUGAUGCUUAUGAAGGAUAGGUACCGCCUGUUGAGAUACGUCACCUGGAGACACAUUCACAGCCCCUAUUCCGGCUCUGGACAUCCGGCGUGCUUCUACGCCGGCAGUUUGCUGGACGAGUUCCUCAGGUUCCUGCGAUG